rnacentral:misc_RNA from 1 species
GGCGAACUUUGCUUGAUAUCAGUUAAUGGAUUUGCAAGUGAGUGAUCCCGGAUCUCUUAUGAUACUCCACGGAUACUUCCUGAUUUGCAUGGGGUAUUUCUUGGAGUACUGCUAGAAGCUAGAUUAAACAUAAAAUCGUUCUUUCCUUGUACAUCCUAUUUGGUAUUUCUUGGAUUUCCUGAUCUUAGUGAAUUUAGGUUGACGAUUGAACAUUACAGGUUGCAUUGUAUGUCAUAAAGAAGCUUGUUGCAAGUAGCAAUUUGUGAGGGCAUUUUUAUAUGCUUUUUAACUACACACGGAAUGGGAAUACCUAGGUUAUUUACAUUGUGAAUUAACUAUACACUAGACAAUACUAUAAAUUUCAAGCAAGGGAAGAAUUUACGUUUCAAAAUUUUCACUAAUGUAUUUAUUAUUUAAUGGAUGCUGCCAUACUGUAUGAUUUUAAACCAUAUUCUGCCUAUGCUUUGGGGAUAGGCAAAUUCUCUGUCUCUCUCUGUCUAUCUGUCUGUCUGUCUGUCUCUC